GAUGAACGCUCGCGAUAGGCUUAACACAUGCAAGUCGAGGGGCAGCAUGGUCUUAGCUUGCUAAGACUGAUGGCGACCGGCGCACGGGUGCGUAACGCGUAUGCAACUUGCCUCACGGAGGGGGAUAACCCGUCGAAAGACGGACUAAUACCGCGUACACUCUAUUUUGGGCAUCCAAGGUAGAGGAAAUGAAAUUCGCUGUGAGAUAGGCAUGCGUCCCAUUAGCUAGUUGGUGAGGUAACGGCUCACCAAGGCGACGAUGGGUAGGGGAACUGAGAGGUUGAACCCCCACACUGGUACUGAGACACGGACCAGACUCCUACGGGAGGCAGCAGUGAGGAAUACUGGUCAAUGGGCGAGAGCCUGAACCAGCCAAGUCGCGUGAAGGAUGACUGUCUUAUGGAUUGUAAACUUCUUUUGUAGGGGAAUAAAGAGGGGCACGUGUGCCCCAGUGAAUGUACCCUACGAAUAAGCAUCGGCUAACUCCGUG
rnacentral:rRNA from 1 species